GCUCUGAUAGGUUAGUUUAAUACACUGCUCUGAUAGGAUAGUUUAAUACACUGCUCUGAUAGGAUAGUCUGAUAGGUUAGUUUAAUACACUGCUCUGAUAGGUUAGUUUAAUACUCUGCUCUGAUAGGUUAGUUUAAUACACUGCUCUGAUAGGUUAGUUUUAUACACUGCUCUGAUAGGUUAGUUUUAUACACUGCUCUGAUAGGAUAGUUUAAUACACUGCUCUGAUAGGAUAGUUUUAUACACUGCUCUGAUAGGUUAGUUUAAUACACUGCUCUGAUAGGGUAGUUUAAUGCUCUGAUAGGUUAGUUUUAUACACUGCUCUGAUAGGAUAGUCUGAUAGGUUAGUUUAAUACACUGCUCUGAUAGGAUAGUUUUAUACACUGCUCUGAUAGGUUAGUUUAAUACACUGCUCUGAUAGGGUAGUUUAAUGCUCUGAUAGGUUAGUUUAAUACACUGCUCUGAUAGGUUAGUUUUAUACACUGCUCUGAUAGGUUAGUUUUAUACACUGCUCUGAUAGGAUAGUUUAAUACACUGCUCUGAUAGGUUAGUUUAAUACACUGCUCUGAUAGGUUAGUUUUAUACACUGCUCUGAUAGGUUAGUUUUAUACACUGCUCUGAUAGGAUAGUUUAAUACACUGCUCUGAUAGGUUAGUUUAAUACACUGCUCUGAUAGGUUAGUUUAAUACACUGCUCUGAUAGGGUAGUUUAAUACACUGCUCUGAAGACUGUUGAUGCCAUUGGAGAUCCACAAACUGACUGUGGAAUGUUUUGGUUCCUGAUAUAUGUAGGGGUCAAAUCUGAAGCCCUAUUCUCUAUGUAGUGCACUAAGGGGAUAGUAGGGGUCAAAUCUGAA
ensembl:lncRNA